GUCUGGGAAGUGAGGAGCGUCUCUGCCUGGCUGCGACCCCGUCUGGGAUCUGAGGAGUGUCUCUGCCCGACCGCCACCCCGUCUGGGAGGAAGAUCACUUCUCUAGCAGUAUGAAGGAUGGACCGGAAGGGGAAAGAUUGAAGGCAGAGACCAGUGUAGUCAUUAUUACUGUAGCUGAAGUGGAAAAUGAUGAAGGCAUUUUAAAGAGAAUUUAAUUUGCCUCUACCUUAGCACUCUGCUGCUGCAACUGGAGACUGGAGAAAAAGACUGGUGUGUUGCAGCUACAUCAAGCCAUGUUGGGACUGCCAACCUUCCCAAAAUGAAAUGCAGAACUUGAGAGCAGCUGUUUGCCUAAAACCUGAUAGAUAAUUCAAGGUGAUACUAUUUUCUGAGGUGGUCCUAAAAAGGAGGAAAAAAAAAGAAGAAGAGUAGAACAGUUGAAUAAGAAGUGUGAAGUGCAAGAUAGAAGAUUAAGGAAGCCCUCUUUGAAGAAGAGAUCAAUGAAUUCAGCUGAGAAUUUUGUACCCACCAUGUGCCAGACAUAGUGCUAGGUUCUGGAGGAGACACAACUAUGGAUAAGAUGAGCUUUCUGCCUGAUGAAGUUCAUAGGCUUUCUCCAACUCCAAGUGGGUGAGGACAAAAAGAUGCAGAGAAAAGAUUUUACAUGUGUGUAGAAUGAUCCCUAUAAUUUUCUGGGAAGAUGAACUAAGAUGCACUCCAUACCAAAUGGGUCUAACUGAAUUUCCUACACUAGCUUUUUUUUUUCUUUCACUUUUUACUUUCAAAUUUUCUUUGCCACCUUCGAAAAAGUCAUCUAUAUCCCUCUCUUCUCCUCCCUCUUGUCUUUCCAAUGACAAAUAAUAUGGGCCAGGGCAUGGUCGGAAAUAGAGUCUAUUAAAGAAUAGUAUUUUAUAAUUAUACAGUGUUUGAAAUGCUUGGGAUAUUUUAGAAUAUCUCUUUCUAUAGACUUCAAGAACUAUGAAGAAAAGGGGAACCUGAAU
rnacentral:lncRNA from 10 species